ACGAACGCUGGCGGCGUGCUUAACACAUGCAAGUCGAACGGAAAGGCCCUGCUUUUGUGGGGUGCUCGAGUGGCGAACGGGUGAGUAACACGUGAGUAACCUGCCCUUGACUUUGGGAUAACUUCAGGAAACUGGGGCUAAUACCGGAUAGGAGCUCCUGCUGCAUGGUGGGGGUUGGAAAGUUUCGGCGGUUGGGGAUGGACUCGCGGCUUAUCAGCUUGUUGGUGGGGUAGUGGCUUACCAAGGCUUUGACGGGUAGCCGGCCUGAGUGGGUGACCGGCCACAUUGGGACUGAGAUACGGCCCAGACUCCUACGGGAGGCAGCAGUGGGGAAUAUUGCACAAUGGGCGGAAGCCUGAUGCAGCAACGCCGCGUGCGGGAUGACGGCCUUCGGGUUGUAAACCGCUUUCGCCUGUGACGAAGCGUGAGUGACGGUAAUGGGUAAAGAAGCACCGGCUAACUACGUG
rnacentral:rRNA from 1 species